UACGUAGGGUGCGAGCGUUGUCCGGAAUUAUUGGGCGUAAAGAGCUCGUAGGCGGUUUGUCGCGUCUGCUGUGAAAUCCCGAGGCUCAACCUCGGGCUUGCAGUGGGUACGGGCAGACUAGAGUGCGGUAGGGGAGACUGGAAUUCCUGGUGUAGCGGUGGAAUGCGCAGAUAUCAGGAGGAACACCGAUGGCGAAGGCGGGGUCUCUGGGCCGAUACUGACGCUGAGGAGCGAAAGCGUGGGGGAGCAAACAGG
rnacentral:rRNA from 1 species